rnacentral:miRNA from 1 species
AGAUGCCACUAAGAGAUC